CCUACGGGAGGCAGCAGUCGAGAAUCAUUCACAAUGGGGGAAACCCUGAUGGUGCGACGCCGCGUGGGGGAAUGAAGGUCUUCGGAUUGUAAACCCCUGUCAUGUGGGAGCAAAUUAAAAAGAUAGUACCACAAGAGGAAGAGACGGCUAACUCUGUGCCAGCAGCCGCGGUAAUACAGAGGUCUCAAGCGUUGUUCGGAAUCACUGGGCGUAAAGGGUGCGUAGGCUGUUUCGUAAGUCGUGUGUGAAAGGCGCGGGCUCAACCCGCGGACGGCACAUGAUACUGCGAGACUAGAGUAAUGGAGGGGGAAGCGGAAUUCUAGGUGUAGCAGUGAAAUGCGUAGAUAUCGAGAGGAACACUCGUGGCGAAGGCGGGUUCCUGGACAUUAACUGACGCUGAGGCACGAAGGCCAGGGGAGCGAAAGGGAUUAGAUACCCGAGUAGUC
rnacentral:rRNA from 1 species